GUCCCUGAGCUGAUAGCACAAGAGGCAGAUGUUCAUGCAGUGAUGGCGGAUGGCUGGACACCCCUGCACAGUACUUGCAAGUGGUACCAGAGUGGCUUCUUUCUUACCUCAGUGUGAUGCAGAUAUCAAUGCCCAAACAAAAGCCUUUUUUUUUUUUUUUUUUUUUUUUUUUUUGAGACAGAGUCUUGCUCUGUCACCCAGGCUUGGGUGCAGUGGUGCAAUCUGCGCUCACUGCAACCUCCACCUCCCAGGUUCAAGCUAUCUUCCUGCCUCAGCCUCCCAAGUAGCUGGGACUACAGGCACACGCCGCCACACCCAGUUAAUCAAACCAAAGCCUCUUGACCCCUUUGCAUCUUGCUGCUGGGAAAGGAGACAGCAAAGAUAACCUAGAACUCCUCCUGAUGAACCAUUACAUCAAACCAGGGCUGAAAAACAACUUCAAAGAAACGGCAUUUGAUAUUGCCAGGAGGACAAGUAUCUAUCACUCCUUCUUUGUAAUGGUGGAAGGCUAUACAAAUUCUUCACCUCAGUCU
rnacentral:lncRNA from 1 species